ACAUGUAUUUCUUUCUUUCUCUUUUUGAAAAAGAGUCUUGCUUUGUUGCCCAGGCUGGAGUACAGUGGCACCAUCUUGGCUCACUGCAACCUCUGCCUUCUGGGUUCAAGUAAUUCUCAUGCCUCAGCCUCCCAAGUAGCUGGGAUUACGGGCAUGUGCCACCAUGUCUGGCUAAUUUUUGUAUUUUUAGUAGAGACAGGGUUUCACCAUGUUGCCCAAGCUGGACUUGAACUCCUAGUGUCAAGCAGUUCUCCUGCCUUGGCCUCCCAAAGCACUGAGAUUACAGGCAUGAGCCAAUGUGCCUGGCCAUUA
rnacentral:lncRNA from 1 species